CGACCCCAGGUCGGGCGGGG
rnacentral:misc_RNA from 1 species